UGGGGUAUUCCACUGGUAUUCCUUCUGUGUCCACAUUCCUCCCGGCGAUGCUGAGUUGAAGUGAACGUAACUUUGAAACUAGUCUGUCUGUAUGCCCAUCCAAGUGCCUUUAGUCUGAGCGUUCUGAUCAGGACCAAGCCGAGCUGUAACCUUAGGCAGUGCUUCCAAAGGCCAGAAUCAAGUAUUUCUGAUCCUUCGUGGGGCCAAUGCUUCAUUUGCUGCUUCUGAGAAUUACUGAACCCAUUCUCCUGGCAGAUGGGCUGGGCCAGAAGAUCAUUGUAAAGAAUAUUUUCGAUAACUUUGGGGCUUCCUGAAACUUUUCCUGCUCCACCAGCAGCCUUCAUCCUUUUUGUCAUCGGAAUUCCUGCCCUGGGUCCGUUAACUCCCACGAAAGCCAGUCAGCCUAGCUGAAAGGUCAUCCAAUACGCUGUUAUUGACCAGCCGGAGCCAAGAAUCCCUAGCUGUCCCGCUCUUGAUUGAACAGGUUUCCCAGUGUGCUGGCAGUGUUUUCCCAUCGCAGUUUCCAAAGCUUUCACGAGAUAUCAUCGGAAC